UACGGAGGGUGCAAGCGUUAUCCGGAUUUAUUGGGUUUAAAGGGUGCGUAGGUGGCUUUUUAAGUCAGGGGUGAAAGACGGUAGCUUAACUAUCGCAGUGCCUUUGAUACUGAAGAGCUUGAAUAAACUAGAGGUAGGCGGAAUGUGACAAGUAGCGGUGAAAUGCAUAGAUAUGUCACAGAACACCAAUUGCGAAGGCAGCUUACUAUGGUUUUAUUGACACUGAGGCACGAAAGCGUGGGGAUCAAACAGG
rnacentral:rRNA from 1 species